GGUUCAAGAGAGCUGGUGAAGAUCAAAAGGCAAGGGUCGGAAAGGAACUUAUGAUCUGAUCCUUGAACUAGAGGAUGUGGUAUACUAGGGAUCCUCCGACGCAAGCGCUGAAGGGUUCCUAAGUUUUACACAUACACCCUCGGGUUGAAGAAAAAGAUCACAGCCGAGCCCUCGGGCGAGGCGGAUAAGGGUCGGCGGAACAGAUAGGGUCGGGUGAGACGGAACCGGGGUCGAGCGGAUAGGAG
rnacentral:lncRNA from 1 species